UACGUAGGUGGCAAGCGUUGUCCGGAUUUAUUGGGCGUAAAGAGCGUGUAGGCGGCCAGGUAGGUCUGCUGUGAAAACUCGAGGCUUAACCUCGAGCUGUCGGCGGAAACCAUCUGGCUAGAGUCCGGAAGAGGAGAAUGGAAUUCCCGGUGUAGCGGUGAAAUGCGUAGAUAAUCUGGAGGAACACCGGUGGCGAAGGCGGCAUCCUGGACCGGUAUUGACGCUGAGGCGCGAAAGCCAGGGGAGCAAACGGG
rnacentral:rRNA from 1 species